CAAAAGAGCAACCUGAGACCUAAAAGAAAUGUUCUCAACUAUAAUGUCAGUGGCCACAGAUUAAUUGAUUGUAACGCCAAGGGCAAAGGAAAUAAAUGCUUCGCUCUAGAGUCUGAUUAUCUCCUCCGAAUUUACGAAGAGCUUCAUAUUUUUUUAGAUGCAGCACAUUAACCCAAGAUGACCAGAGUCUGCAGAACUUUUACUCUAAAAUCAUUGUUAUCAGUGUUGGUGAUAAUGCUAUCAAUGAUUAGCUAUCUUUGAUCAGUCACUACAAACAAAACAGUCACCUAUAAGUGCAGAAUUCACAACAUGGACUGAACUCUCCACAAGCUUGGGGGAAAUUGUUCUACAAAUUUUGGAAGUCAAUUUGCUUGUUGAAGUAUUAUUCCAUUUUUUGACAACUGGACAACGAAGAAAGUAGUAACACUAUAAAGAAGGACUUCAUGUCGUUUAU